UACGUAGGGUGCGAGCGUUGUCCGGAAUUAUUGGGCGUAAAGGGCUCGUAGGCGGUUUGUUGCGUCGGGAGUGAAAACUCAGGGCUUAACCCUGAGCCUGCUUCCGAUACGGGCAGACUAGAGGUAUGUAGGGGAGAACGGAAUUCCUGGUGUAGCGGUGAAAUGCGCAGAUAUCUGGAAGAACACCAAUGGCGAAGGCAAUGUUCUGGCUCGUUUCUGACGCUCAGGUGCGAAAGCCAGGGGAGCGAACGGG
rnacentral:rRNA from 1 species